rnacentral:rRNA from 1 species
CACGUAGGGCGCAAGCGUUGUCCGGAAUUAUUGGGCGUAAAGAGCUCGUAGGCGGUCUGUUGCGUCCGCUGUGAAAACUCGGGGCUUAACCCCGAGCCUGCAGUGGAUACGGGCAGACUAGAGGUAGGUAGGGGAGAAUGGAAUUCCCGGUGUAGCGGUGAAAAUGCGCAGAUAUCGGGAGGAACACCGGUGGCGAAGGCGGGUCUCUGG